CUAAGGGUCCCCCGUGCAUCAUAUGGGCAUUCUUGAGUGUGCAGAUUGCAUCAGACCUGCACCUGAAUAAUUAAUAGUGACUGAAAUAUGCAGACACUAAAGUUCUGCAGCCAAAUUCUCAGAAACCUUCCUCUUCAAUGUAAGAUCAGGAUUUUGGUUUAAAUUUAUUUUUAUUUAAAAAAAAUUGCUAAGCAGAUGCUACACUGUAAGAAGAGGAAAGAGAAUCAAAAACUGAAAGAUUGUUACUAAAACCAGUGAACAACUGCAGAGAGUGGAGACCCGGCAAAGCAAACAAAUGAAUACUGAAAAAGAUCCCCAAAGGAGAUGUAAGGAUCCGGAACUCUAAUGUCUGCCAGAAACUUCAGCCACCUUCACAGGCUAGGGCUCACCGUCCAUUGUGGAGGUGAAGACCAGAUGAGAGCUGCUGGAUUGACCUUGAUGUGCCAUGUCCUUGUGUGGAUGAAGGACCUACAUCUCAGGGAUGGCCAGCAGCAGAUGUAACACAUGUGUCCAGGAAUGGGCUAAAUAACCUA